rnacentral:rRNA from 1 species
UGGGGAAUAUUGGACAAUGGGCGCAAGCCUGAUCCAGCCAUGCCGCGUGUGUGAAGAAGGCCUUCGGGUUGUAAAGCACUUUUGUCCGGAAAGAAACCUGUCGGUUAAUACCCGGCGGGGAUGACGGUACCGGAAGAAUAAGCACCGGCUAACUUCGUGCCAGCAGCCGCGGUAAUACGAAGGGUGCAAGCGUUACUCGGAAUUACUGGGCGUAAAGCGUGCGUAGGUGGUCUGUUAAGUCUGAUGUGAAAGCCCUGGGCUCAACCUGGGAACUGCAUUGGAUACUGGCAGUCUGGAGUGCGGUAGAGGGUAGCGGAAUUCCCGGUGUAGCAGUGAAAUGCGUAGAUAUCGGGAGGAACAUCCGUGGCGAAGGCGGCUACCUGGACCAGCACUGACACUGAGGCACGAAAAGCGUGGGGAGCAAACAGGAUUAGAUACCCUGGGUAGUCCACGCCCUAAAACGAUGCGAACUGGAUGUUGGGAGCAACUAGGCUCUCAGUAUNGAAGCUAACGCGUUAAGUUCGCCGCCUGGGAAGUACGGUCGCAAGACUGAAACUCAAAGGAAUUGAC